rnacentral:tRNA from 1 species
GAGGGUAUAGCUCAGUGGUAGAGUGCAUGUUUAGCAUGCACGGGGUCCUGGGUUCGAUCUCCAGCACCUCCA